GACGAACGCUGGCGGCGUGCCUAAUACAUGCAAGUAGAACGCACAGUUUAUACCGUAGCUUGCUACACCAUAGACUGUGAGUUGCGAACGGGUGAGUAACGCGUAGGUAACCUGCCUGGUAGCGGGGGAUAACUAUUGGAAACGAUAGCUAAUACCGCAUAAUAUUAAUUAUUGCAUGAUAAUUAAUUGAAAGGUGCAAUUGCACCACUACCAGAUGGACCUGCGUUGUAUUAGCUAGUAGGUGAGGUAACGGCUCACCUAGGCGACGAUACAUAGCCGACCUGGGAGGGUGAUCGGCCACACUGGGACUGAGACACGGCCCAGACUCCUACGGGAGGCAGCAGGAGGGAAUCUUCGGCAAUGGACGAAAGUCUGACCGAGCAACGCCGCGUGAGUGAAGAAGGUUUUCGGAUCGUAAAGCUCUGUUGUAAGAGAAGAACGGGUGUGAGAGUGGAAAGUUCACACUGUGACGGUAGCUUACCAGAAAGGGACGGCUAACUACGUG
rnacentral:rRNA from 1 species